UACGAGGGGGCCAAGCGUUGUUCGGAAUUAUUGGGCGUAAAGGGUGCGUAGGCGGUUUGGUAAGUCUGAUGUGAAAUCUAUGGGCUCAACUCAUAGUCUGCAUCGGAAACUGCCGGGCUUGAGUAUGGGAGAGGUGAGUGGAAUUCCUGGUGUAGCGGUGAAAUGCGUAGAUAUCAGGAGGAACACCUGCGGCGAAAGCGGCUCACUGGACCAUAACUGACGCUGAUGCACGAAAGCUAGGGGAGCAAACAGG
rnacentral:rRNA from 1 species